GAUGAACGCUGGCGGCGUGCCUAAUACAUGCAAGUCGAGCGAAUGGAUUAAGAGCUUGCUCUUAUGAAGUUAGCGGCGGACGGGUGAGUAACACGUGGGUAACCUGCUCAUAAGACUGGGAUAACUCCGGGAAACCGGGGCUAAUACCGGAUAACAUUUUGAACCGCAUGGUUCGAAAUUGAAAGGCGGCUUCGACUGUCACUUAUGGAUGGACCCGCGUCGCAUUAGCUAGUUGGUGAGGUAACGGCUCACCAAGGCAACGAUGCGUAGCCGACCUGAGAGGGUGAUCGGCCACACUGGGACUGAGACACGGCCCAGACUCCUACGGGAGGCAGCAGUAGGGAAUCUUCCGCAAUGGACGAAAGUCUGACGGAGCAACGCCGCGUGAGUGAUGAAGGCUUUCGGGUCGUAAAACUCUGUUGUUAGGGAAGAACAAGUGCUAGUUGAAUAAGCUGGCACCUUGACGGUACCUAACCAGAAAGCCACGGCUAACUACGUGCCAGCCGCCGCGGUAA
rnacentral:rRNA from 1 species